UACGGAAGGCAGCAGUGGGGAAUAUUGCACAAUGGGCGAAAGCCUGAUGCAGCUAUGCCGCGUGUAUGAAGAAGGCCUUAGGGUUGUAAAGUACUUUCAUCGGGGAGGAAAAAACAAAACUAAUAAUUUUAUUUCUUGACGUUACCCGAAAAAGAAGCACCGGCUAACUCCGUGCCAGCAGCCGCGGUAAUACGGAGGGUGCUAGCGUUAAUCAGAAUUACUGGGCGUAAAGAGCACGUAGGUGGUUUUUUUAAGUCAGAUGUGAAAUCCCUGGGCUUAACCUAGGAACUGCAUUUGAAACUGAAAUACUAGAGUAUCGUAGAGGGAGGUAGAAUUCUAGGUGUAGCGGUGAAAUGCGUAGAUAUCUGGAGGAAUACCUGUGGCGAAAGCGGCCUCCUAAACGAACUACUGACACUGAGGGUGCGAAAGCGUGGGGAGCAAACAGGGAUUAGAUACC
rnacentral:rRNA from 1 species